CCCAAUUCCCAAAUUAUUUGAGAAACCCUAACCCUAAACCCUUUUGCCUCAGCUGCACCCCCACCCCUCUUUCACCCUCUUCAGUGUAAUACACUCAGCCCCACUCAAACUCACACACAGAAAAGAGAGGAAGAAGGAGAAGAGGACGACGCCAGCGGGUUGGGUGCCACCGUCGCUGUCGUUGCCAUGUCUGAGGGAGAAAGAGAUCAACAGAGAGUGUAGUUGCUGAACCCAGGAUCGCUGCUGCUGAUGGCUUUGUCUCCGCCGUCCAUGGAACCAUGAGUCGCGCCGCUGUCACUGAGAGGAGGAGGGAGAAGGCGCGAUGCUGGAGGAGCGUGACCCGCCGCGCCGCCGUGGGUCCCUUGCCAUCGAGCUCGAAGGAGCAGAGGAGAACGACAUUGGAUUUGACGGAGAUAGAGGUGGAGUGGCGCGAGGUGGAAGGCAAGCGGUUCGCGUUGCCGUUCGCGCCACCGUUGCUGAGCCAUAACGCCGCCACCACCGGGUCUCACUACUGUGCAUCGCCGUCCAAAGUAGAGAGUCACGAUGGAGCUCCGUUUGUGCUUCUCUGGUCACCGCCGAGAAGAGAAGCUGUAUUCCACGCUGCUGUCGCCAUCGAUCCACGGCCACCACCGCGAGGGUUCCACCGCCGUCGUUCCAGUGCCAUUGUUUGUGUCCUUCGUCGCCACUGCCGUGAGUAAAGUCCGCCGCUGUUACCAGAGUCUUUGCCACCGUGGAUACUGUCAUUGGAGUCGCUAGGAGCCAAUUUUGGAGCUGCCCUUGAUGAUUCUGAUGCUGCUACGUAGGUUUCGAGUUGUUGUGUUGUUGCCAGAGGAAGGGAACUCAUAGGAAAAAACGUCACCGAGGCUGCUGUUUGGUUUAAUUACAUUGUUAAUGUGACAUUGAGUGAUACAGGUCGAAGACUCCGUUUGAAGCUGCGGACGAUUAUAGAACUUAUUUACGAGUUAAGUUUAUGACUUGAGUUUCUUUCAUAGAGUUCCCUCGCCUUUGUAACUUUAGUUUUUAUUUUAUGCAGAGGGAUAGGAGUUGUAUCUGAAUUUUAUUUAAAUUCUUUUGUAUAAUAUUUAUUAUUAUUAAUAAGUUUAUGAUUAUUAUUACUUGGAGAUGUUUGCUAUGUGAUUUUAAUUAAUAAAAACAAAAUUUUUCUGGAAUUUUCUAUAAAACUAAAUCGCGAUAUCGAACUAAAGGCUCAAUAUUAAAUAGUUACUAAAAGAAAUAGGUUAGUAACUCCUUACUCUUGGUACGAUCAUGACGUACUAGAAGUUGGGUCGUUACACAUUGCAUAAGUUUUACAUGUCCCUAUUCAAUUAGAUUUAUGUCCCUCAACUAAGCACGAGGACAUGCUAAUGUUUAAGUGUGGGGAGGUUGAUGAACCAUUAUUUUAUGAUUUAUAUUGUGCUCAAUUGAGUGGUUUUAUUAAGUCUUCACCCACUUAUUCAUAUGAUUUGCAUGUAUUUACAAUUCCUUUCCAAAAUUAUUCUAUGAUUGAAAACAUGCUUCCUAAAGAUCUUUUAAUUGUAUAUUCUUAUUCUUCUUUAUACCAUUCGAUGCCGUGAUCUGUGUGUUAAGUGUUUUAGGCUUUAUAGGGCAGGAAAGGCUUAGAGAAUGGAGAGGAAGCUUGCAAAGAUGGAAGGAACAUAAGAAAUUGAGGAGACGACCAGCGAGAAGUGACGCGGGCGCAUGGCUCAUGCGACUACUCGAAAUGGAGGAAAUCGCAGUGACGCGCUCGCGUGCCUGACGCGACCGCGUGGAUUGGAAGCUGCACGAGCGAUGCGAAUGCGUGGACGGUGCGCACGCGUGGCAUGGAAAAUGCUGACUGACGCGAAUGCGUGGAUGACGCGGUCGCGUGACGUGCACGAUCUGCAGAAUUACAGAAGUCGCUGGCAUAGAGUUUGGGCCGCGUUUUAACCCAAUUUUUGGCCCAGAAACGCAGAUUAGAGCCAGGGAACAUGCAGAGACUCGGAAGAAUUCAUUCCACAUAAUUUUUAGUUUUAGAUUUGAUUUUUAUUCCUCCUCUAGGUUUUUCAUAUACAUUCAUAAUUUAGGAUUUGACAAUUUUUGUCUUUGGUUAUUGAGAAGAGUCUACCUCCGAAACUGGUCAUUCUAGUUUGUUUACCUAUUUUUCAAUUACUCUUCCAUAUUCUUAAUUUGUCCAGAAUUGACAUUGGAUUAUUUUUAAAGUUCAUUAAUACAAGACUAUUUUUUAUUUUUAA